rnacentral:rRNA from 1 species
CAAUAGCUUGCUAAUGAAAUUCUUAGUGGCGGACGGGUUAGUAACACGUGAGAAUCCUACCCUUGAGUGGGGAAUAGCCCUUCGAAAGGAAGAUUAAUGCCCCAUAGUCUCUACGGAGUAAAGAUGCCUUCGGGUGUCGCUUAAGGAUGGGCUCGCGGCCUAUCAGCUAGUUGGUGAGGUAAGAGCUCACCAAGGCAACGACGGGUAGCUGGUCUGAGAGGACGAUCAGCAACACUGGAACUGAGACACGGUCCAGACACCUACGGGUGGCAGCAGUCGAGAAUCAUUCACAAUGGACGAAAGUCUGAUGGUGCAACGCCGCGUGGAGGAUGACGGCCCUAGGGUUGUAAACUCCUGUCAUCAGGGAGUAAGACUUAUUCGUUAAUAGCGUGUAAGUUUGAUAGUACCUGAAGAGGAAGGGACGGCUAACUUCGUGCCAGCAGCCGCGGUAAUACGAAGGUCCCAAGCGUU